UGUUGGGCGAUCUGGCUGCGACAUCUGUCACCCCAUUGAUCGCCAGGGUUGAUUCGGCUGAUCUGGCUGGCUAGGCGGGCGUCCCCUUCCUCCCUCACCGCUCCAUGUGCGUCCCUCCCGAAGCUGCACGCUCGGCGGAAGAGGACGACCAUCCCAGAUAGGAGUGUACCGUUCUUCGGUCAAGGGUAUAUGAUAGCUGCGCUCCCCUGCUAGAACCUCCAAACAAGCUCGAGGUUUGUUAAUUUUCUUGUCGUUAUUUUCAGCGUGUUAUAAAAUACACCUACUCGGUGCUUUUUUUCUGG